rnacentral:rRNA from 1 species
ACGGAGGGUGCAAGCGUUAAUCGGAAUCACUGGGCGUAAAGCGCGCGUAGGCGGUUUUAUAAGUCAGGGGUGAAAUCCCACGGCCCACCCGUGGAACUGCCCUUGAUACUGUAUUACUUGAGUAUGUGAGAGGAUAGCGGAAUUCCUGGUGUAGGAGUGAAAUCCGUAGAGAUCAGGAGGAACAUCAGUGGCGAAGGCGGCUAUCUGGCACAAAACUGACGCUGAGGUGCGAAAGCGUGGGUAUCAAACAG